UCCGAUGUGGUGUAGUGGCUAACAUUGCUGUCUUUCAAAGGUCAUAUCUGAAGGCUUGCACAGCAGCCCGGGGUUCGAUUCCCCGCAUCGGAA